rnacentral:rRNA from 1 species
CUGCCAGAAUUCAUAUGCUUGUCCCGAGGACUCAAGCCAUGCAUGCCUAGAAGAAAAACUGGUACCUGGCCGGGUUGGGGUUCCCCCUGGCCUGUCUAGGUGCUGGGGAAUCAGCGUACGGCUCCGCAUAUCUGUUGCUACCCACCGUGGUAAAUUGGGCCCGGAUAUAGCAUGGAAAGGCUGUGUGUAACACGAACAACCGGGGCACCCGCUCUCAUUUGGCAUCGAAGGGCGGGCUAACUGGAGCCUUUCCAUGGAUCCGGCCCCAUUAAAAGAUCCCAAAGUACCGCAGGCCGACUGGCCUGCCUUGACAGGCGGCCAGACCCAGGCCCGGGAAACGGAGGCCGCUGUAUGCCCGGGUGAGCUUACCAGCCCCCCCCAUACUUGGGGUAGGUAGGGCAUGUUUCCCUUGCGGCAACGACAGCGUCUAACCACAUGCGUCCGAUGGGCUUCAGACCUAUCAGCUAGGCGGUAAGGUAUAGGCCUACCGCGGCUAUGACGGGUACAGAGGAUUAGGGUUUGAUCCUGGAGAGGUAGCCUGAGAAAUCGCUCCCACUUCUAAGGAAGGCAGCAGGCGCGUAACGUUCCCAAUGCUAGUAACUCUAGUGAGGACGUGAUGGGAUAUAGCAAUGCCCCUUUUGUUGGGUAAU